rnacentral:rRNA from 1 species
GACGAACGCUGGCGGCGUGCUUAACACAUGCAAGUCGAACGGAAAGGCCCUGCUUUUGUGGGGUGCUCGAGUGGCGAACGGGUGAGUAACACGUGAGUAACCUGCCCUUGACUUUGGGAUAACUUCAGGAAACUGGGGCUAAUACCGGAUAGGUGCUCCUGCUGCAUGGUGGGGGUUGGAAAGUUUCGGCGGUUGGGGAUGGACUCGCGGCUUAUCAGCUUGUUGGUGGGGUAGUGGCUUACCAAGGCUUUGACGGGUAGCCGGCCUGAGAGGGUGACCGGCCACAUUGGGACUGAGAUACGGCCGAGACUCCUACGGGAGGCAGAAGUGGGGAAUAUUGCGCAAUGGGCGGAAGCCUGAUGCAGCAACGCCGCGUGCGGGAUGACGGCCUUCGGGUUGUAAACCGCUUUCGCCUGUGACGAAGUGUGAGUGACGGUAAUGGGUAAAGAAGCACCGGCUAACUACGUG